rnacentral:rRNA from 1 species
CAGAGGGUGCAAGCGUUAAUCGGAAUUACUGGGCGUAAAGCGCGCGUAGGUGGUUUGUUAAGUUGGAUGUGAAAGCCCCGGGCUCAACCUGGGAACUGCAUCCAAAACUGGCAAGCUAGAGUAUGGUAGAGGGUGGUGGAAUUUCCUGUGUAGCGGUGAAAUGCGUAGAUAUAGGAAGGAACACCAGUGGCGAAAGCGACCACCUGGACUGAUACUGACACUGAGGUGCGAAAGCGUGGGGGAGCAAACAGGAUU